rnacentral:rRNA from 1 species
GUGGAUUAGAUACCCUAGUAGUCCACGCCGUAAACGAUGGAUACUAGCUGUUUGGUUGUAAGACUGAGUGGCUAAGCGAAAGUGAUAAGUAUCCCACCUGGGGAGUACGGGCGCAAGCCUGAAACUCAAAGGAAUUGACGGGGGCCCGCACAAGCGGUGGAGCAUGUGGUUUAAUUCGAUGAUACGCGAGGAACCUUACCAGGGCUUAAAUGUAGGUUGACAGGCUUGGAAACAGGUUUUUCUUCGGACAACUUACAAGGUGCUGCACGGUUGUCGACAACU